GAUGACAGUGGUUUUCCCCUCCGGAUGCUGUGUGACUGACCCAACCGCCGGGGGUCGGGGGCCCCAGCUCCGCACGGCGGCGGCCCAGACACACGAAGCCGCCCGGCAAAGGCCCGGAGUAGCAGACGGCGCGGACAGGAAAGGCCGUUUCGCUCGCGCCCCUCGGCGGCGCAGGAACCCAGAGCGCUGCGGUAGCUUAGGGGCGCCAGGCCAGGGCCUGCUGACCCAGCAAUGGCCGGUACGAGCCUGGAGGGACCCAGAGCUACCGCCCGGCUUACAUGGGCUUCACCCCAGCGCCCCACACCCAGACCCUGCAGAGCAGCCCGGCUCAGGCAAGGAGCUCUCUCCCCUCCCCCCACGAGCCCCCCAGAGCGAGCGGCCCUGGCCCAAGUGACUGACCCUGCGUGGCAUGGCCCCGCUCCAGCUCCGCACGCUGGCACUGACAGGACCCUGCCCCCAGCCGCCGCGCCGACGGAAGCCGGCCAGGGCCACCAGCAUCACACAGACCGACCCGUCGACGGCUCCGACCCGCACUUCCGGCAACACCGGUACACCCCUCCCCGCGGGGCCUGCAGGGAAACCCCGUUCGGCUUCCCAGUUCCGGGGCCGGCAGAGUGCUGCGCACGCGCAGAUUGAACAGGCGCUAGGAUUCCGUCCGAAUCCAGGCGGCGAGCAGGGAAGCUGCGUGGCUGGUCCGACGCGCGCGGGGCAGAGCCGCCAGCCAGGCGUCCUGGUGCUUGGUCUGGCCUGGACCUCAGCCGUACGCUGCAAACCCCGCUCCCCGCAGUCACGUGUGCGCUCAGCCCCAUCCCGGGUCCGGCACCCGCCAGCCACUGGCUUGGGGCGCGCUCCUGUCCUGCAGCGAGGGGGCCAGCUCCGCGCACGGCGGGGUGCCAGGGCCAGGAUCAGCUAUACAGCCCAGCCUGUGCUGUCCCGUGCAGGGCCCGGCUCCCACCGUCUCACCCCCCUGCACAACACGCCGCGUCUGAAGGGCCGAUGCACCUGCCUCGUGCGGGCACAGCUGAUUUUGAAACAAGUCUUGGACAUAAGUUCCAUCAUGACUGGAUCUCAAACUGGAUUGACAAAGCAUCUGGAUUCUGAGUGAAUAUAACUCAUCUCUGGACAGAUCAUGCCUGCACAUGGGAGACCGUAGGCCACAAAGGGUAUGUCUAAACCACAAUCUAUGCCCUGGCUUAGCAGAACUCGAGUCAGUAGACUCUGGCUUUGUUAACCUAGGGCUUGAGCAUCUACACACUCAUUUGUAACCCCAGGUUAAGAAUUGUUGAACCCUGGGUCCAACCUGGGGCUCCAGCGUCUACGCUGUAUUAUGUGGGUCCAGCCAUCCAUAUCCCAGACUUCCUAGCAGGGCAGGAAGUAUAAGGGCCAGGCUCUGCAGCUCAGUUGGGUUCAGACCAGGAAAGGAGCCAGAUGUCCUUUCCAGGGAGCUGAACUACCCGUGGAGCCCAUCGUUAGCUGCAGCAGAUGAUGACGACACUUCUAAGCCAGCCUGGAAAAAAGGCAAGCCAUGGUCCCAGGAGAUGGAGGAACCAGGAGAGGAAGCACAGAGUGAGCCGCUUGGCACAGAGAAGGGGAACCGGGAACCAGGCCCCAGUCACUGCAGAGAACAACUCAACCAGAUGCCAGAAGGAAGCAGCCAAGGAAAAUGAGACUUUGGGUCUGUUGUGUUGCCAGGAGACGAGGCAGUGACCUCAUGUUUCCCUGCUGGCCUCACGAUGCGAUCACCAGUUGCUCCAAGGGUCCUGGGCUGGGACCCGGUGGAGCAGGGCGGGCCCAGAUCUCCCUACCCCUGGCCCCGCACUCAGGGCUGGGCAAGUACUAACCCCUAGGCCAAGGGGCCUGAGCCACUGCCUGUUUGUUUCUCAGCCCUCCCUCGAGAGGCCCGAGCCAUUGCCUGCUUGUUUGCUUAGCCUAUGCCCAGAAGGCCUGAGUCCUUGUUUAUUUAAUAGUUUAGCCCUCAAGUAGGAGCCCCAAGCCACAGACUUCUUACUGGCCCAGCCCCCAUCCCGGAGACUGGAGCUACCACGUGCCUAGGGGCUCAGCUGCAAACCAGGAUGACUGGUUGCCCCACGUAAGUAUGAACACCAAUUCCCCACUGCCAAAGGGGGUGCCCUGGAAGAGAUCCAAGGAACCUUACACCACCAAACAUGACUGUCCAGGGAACAAAAAGUCAAUGUUUGGGACUGUGGAAUACUUUUGGCAGACUCCCAGAGCACUAGUCCAGAGGGGCUGCGUCUACACUGCAACGCAAUAAGGCUUGAACCCGGGGUCCCAGCUUGAUUUAGGCUCUAACGCUCCACCCCGUGGGGUCCAGGACCCUCAGUAAGAGCCCUCAAUUAGGGCAAUUUGCAUGUAGAUGGAUGGAUGUUAUGUUUCAGCCUGAGUUCGAACCAUGAGCUUAUAUUGCAAUUAGAUGUAUUUAAAAUGUAGGGCAGAGAAAGAGGCCUAAAAAGAAAAGAAACCCAGUAGUUGAAAGUUAGCAAAUUUUCAGCAGUAGUAAGUCAGAGUCUGAGAAAGCAUGCAGCUGCACUAGCUGCAAAGGCAGGACUGUAUUUAUACAGCACUCAAAGGCAUGCUGUGUGCUUUACAGACAGAAAAGAGGAAAGAUUCCUGUCCCAGAGAGUCUGCAUACUAAACAGACAACAUAUAAACUACGGACAGCAGGAUAAAAAGAUGCAAACAAGAGUGUUAUAUUCUUAGCACUUAUUUUCUUGCAUAUAAAACUAAGGGAUAAAUUAUAAACAAGUGUAACCUGAAUCAACUUGAACCUCAUUUACUCACUGUUUAAUCCUUUUCUGAAUUCCUCAUCAUCUAUUCUCCCACCCCAAGAAAAAUACAUGAGUUAACCUUAGUAUAGAGUCCCAUUUGUUUCUUCCUUCCCGGGCCUCAAGCAAAAUAAGCUUUAGGCCCAUCUUUUUCUUGUGUACCUCAUACACCAUGGUUAUUUCCUCUCCCUUGCCUCUACACAGACACUCUUCUUAACACUUUGCUGAGGUUGGUUGUGAUGAAGUCAAUGGGGUCAGGUAACGUACUGCUUCUCCUGCCAAUAGUCUGUUCCCUCCUGGGAGUCUAGGCUCAAGCCCACUCAUAGGCUGGAAGCUGAUGUCAGUCUGGGCUAUUUACAGUACUAAGUUUAGUCAAGAAGAAUAUACAUAUGCUGCUUUCCUAGCUGAAAGUAGGCAGGACCAGCCCAGUAGUUGAGCGGGAUUGGCAAAUGGACACUCGAAGAAGAGUAAUUUAACCAUAAUGCUUCAACUAAAACUGAACAUGCAGCAAAGGUAUUUAGAAAACCAUAUUGGCAGCAAUUUUUUGGUAAAUCCAAUGAUAGGCAGUAGUAACCUAAAGCAAAAUUAGAGACAGCACUAUAAAUAUGGCAUAUAUAGUUAAAACAGGACCAAACCAGAUAAAAAUCUGGACUGUUUUCAAGUCAGACACUCAAGCUUUUUUAGUAUUUUCCCACAGAUUUAAUCAGACAUCACACACAAAGUAUUAUUGUAACAGAAAUAUAUAGUCAAAAUUCAGAAAAAUUCUUCAAAGAUACAUGAAGAUGCAAAAGUAGUAACAUUCACAAUAAGAUAAAACUUAUUUUUUAUGCAUUUUGCUCUUGUAUUCAAACUUAUGUUAGUCAAUGUUUCUUCUGCAGUGAUAGAAAAAUGAGUGCACUACUGUGGCCAAAAUAAUACUGAAUCACUAAAAUUCCUACACUAAUUAGACAACGUAGACUAGUAUAUAAAAAUGUUUGCUUUGUCUUUUAAAAUGGUAUUGAGGUAAAAUCCUUGUACUUUUAAUAAAGUUCUAACUAAUUCUAAUCAAUGUGAGCAUCAGAUUUUU